rnacentral:lncRNA from 1 species
UCUUGUUUUUCAGGUUACCUUCAUACAAGGAAAAGACAAGUGUGUAGAUGCAAGAAAUUUCAGAGCCAAAGAUGAGUUCAAUGAACCAUUCCUUCCCCUAGAGACAAGGGCAGCCUUUAUUGAGAAGUUUGAAGAGAAAGUGACAGAAUUGGCGAACAAUAGCAACAACACUAACAGUGAAUCUGGGUCCUCAGCAGCCGGUGACACAGUGACCACUCGAGAAUGAAAGUGAGCCCUUGGUGGAUGAAAGUGAACAACCAAGCAAGAAAGUAAAGUUCUCUGUUGGUGAAAAAGUUUGGGCGUUGUACAGGGAUGGACAUUCCUACAAGGCCAGGAUGAUCAGGAUUAACAAAAAUU